rnacentral:rRNA from 1 species
UACAGAGGGUGCGAGCGUUAAUCGGAAUUACUGGGCGUAAAGCGUGCGUAGACGGUUACAUAAGUCGGGUGUGAAAGCCCCGGGCUCAACCUGGGAAUUGCAUUCGAGACUGCGUAGCUAGGGUGCGGAAGAGGGAAGCGGAAUUUCCGGUGUAGCGGUGAAAUGCGUAGAUAUCGGAAGGAACACCAGUGGCGAAAGCGGCUUCCUGGUCCAGCACCGACGUUCAGGCACGAAGCGUGGGGAGCAAAGCAGG